AGUGAACGCUGGCGGUAGGCCUAAUACAUGCAAGUCGAACGGCAGCACAGUAAGAGCUUGCUCUUACGGGUGGCGAGUGGCGGACGGGUGAGGAAUACAUCGGAAUCUACUUUUUCGUGGGGGAUAACGUAGGGAAACCUACGCUAAUACCGCAUAAGACCUACGGGUGAAAGCAGGGGAUCUUCGGACCUUGCGCGAUUGAAUGAGCCGAUGUCGGAUUAGCUAGUUGGCGGGGUAAAGGCCCACCAAGGCGACGAUCCGUAGCUGGUCUGAGAGGAUGAUCAGCCACACUGGAACUGAGACACGGUCCAGACUCCUACGGGAGGCAGCAGUGGGGAAUAUUGGACAAUGGGCGCAAGCCUGAUCCAGCCAUACCGCGUGGGUGAAGAAGGCCUUCGGGUUGUAAAGCCCUUUUGUUGGGAAAGAAAAGCAGCAGGUUAAUACCCCGCUGUUCUGACGGUACCCAAAGAAUAAGCACCGGCUAACUUCGUG
rnacentral:rRNA from 1 species